CCUACGGGGGGCUGCAGUGGGGAAUAUUGGACAAUGGGCGAAAGCCUGAUCCAGCCAUGCCGCGUGUGUGAAGAAGGCCUUCGGGUUGUAAAGCACUUUCAGUGGGGAAGAAAGCCUUGGGGCUAAUACCCUCGAGGAAGGACAUCACCCACAGAAGAAGCACCGGCUAACUCCGUGCCAGCAGCCGCGGUAAUACGGAGGGUGCGAGCGUUAAUCGGAAUUACUGGGCGUAAAGCGCGCGUAGGUGGUCUGAUAAGCCGGUUGUGAAAGCCCCGGGCUCAACCUGGGAACGGCAUCCGGAACUGUCAGGCUAGAGUGCAGGAGAGGAAGGUAGAAUUCCCGGUGUAGCGGUGAAAUGCGUAGAGAUCGGGAGGAAUACCAGUGGCGAAGGCGGCCUUCUGGACUGACACUGACGCUGAGGUGCGAAAGCGUGGGUAGCAAACAGGAUUAGAUACCCCAGUAGUC
rnacentral:rRNA from 1 species